ACAAGCUAUAAUUUAUUUUAUUUUUCAAUCGUUUUCUCAAUUGCUUUGUUGAAAAUCAUAUUUCUGGGUUUAAAAAUCCUUACAAGAAAAAAUUUAAAAUUAGGCAAGUGAUGCUAAUUAGUGACUUAUGCUGACCAAUAUACAAGAAGAUUAUUCUUGGUGAUAAUGCUGAACGCCACCGACAUAAGGCAUUUGGACACUGCAAUUUUUAACGGAUCAUUUGGCAGCUAUUCAAAUAUUUCUCUUUUUAUAAAAGUUUUUUCAUUACUGAAUACAAAUACAUAAAAGUUUAGACUAAUUUUAA
rnacentral:sRNA from 1 species